GCACCACACUGAUUUCCACAGUAGUUAUACUAGUUUACAUUCCUACCAACAAUGUAGAAGUUUCUUUUUCUCGCAUCCUCAACAGUAUAUGUUAUUAUUAGAUAUUUUUGAUAACAAACAUUCUUUCUGUUGUUCUUGAAAAAUCAGUGCAGUUUUCAUUGGCAUUUCCCUCACGGUCAGCAAUGGCUGCACUUAUGUCUCAUGAGAAGUUGACAUAGGAAUAAAAUAUUCAGCAUUUACGUAUUAUUUUGAACAGUAUGUAGGCAUUGCCUGAGAGUGGACAGCUAUAGCAGUACAUUCACUUUCUGGGUCAGGCCAAAGGGCACUUACAAAGAAUACCUUACAGUGGGAUAAAGUUUUGCAUUGGAGAAACAAAACAAUUAAGACAUGAUCCCUACCGCACCUGCCAUGAUCACUCAAUCUACUGUAACAGCAAAACUGACAGGAAGUACAAAGAAACAUUAAUUAAUACUCAUGGCCUGACAACAGCCAGAACCUUGCCUGCCAGUGAAGCCCUGUAAGUUUAUGAACUCCUGUCCAGGAGCCCAGGUGUCCCUUUCCCCCCAGCCCUGAAGGCCAUUCUCAGAACCAAAUUCUUCUUGCAAGGGUCUCACUAUGCAGUUGAGACUGACCUUAAACUCACUUUGUAGCCCAGGUUGGCCUCAAACUCACGAACUCACUGCAGUUCCUUCUCAGCCUUCUGAUGACUGGGAUUACAGGCCAGUGGUGGUGAACCUAUGGCACACAACCUAAAACCAGCUGUUUGCAUUGUUGAAACCUCUAAAAGGUUUUCCAUCACUACUAGGCUUUUCCUGUUACAUGCUUUCUAUGUUUUGGAUUUGAGAGAGAUUAAAUAAAGAACAUAAGAAAGUCAUUUAAAAUAUCAAAGGAAACUUGCUUACUAAAAGGUAUCUCUAAAAAUCCAAUAAAAAAGGAAAAGAAAAGAGCUGACUGGGUACGAUCCUGUCCAGACAUUUGACUUGCCCUUCCUAGCUUCAAAUCAGGAGCAAAGGCAGGUUACUAAAGAGGAGGGACUCCCACACCAAGAACCAGUUUGUGAACACUGCUCAAACCAAAUGUUUAAAAAACUUUCUCCUUGAAGAUUUAAUGACUCCAAAUCUGUAUUUGAUUACUUGAUUCCACUGGGGCUUGGACUUGAGCAAUGGCCAAGCUAGAAGAGCAAGAAGAAAUCGUGCCGGUCAUGCAUUAUGUAUUGCUGCUACUGGAUUUGGGCCGAGACGAGCCUAUGACGUCUUCACCGGGCAUGGCAUUUGCUUUGGGCUGUUUGCUUUGUUUGAACAUACUGUCUUUCGAGUGUGAGGGGUUUAACUAGUGAGUCAACCACAUGCAACUCCCCACACUAUAAAUUCCAGGAAAAGUCAAGGAGAUUUAGUUUCUGGAUUUGAUCUUUAAAUGGCCGAUAGAUUUCAUCAUUCUGUAAAGGCAGUUAAAAUCCCCCCUCUUUCCCAUUUUGUUCCACAUAACUCUUCGGCAGAGCACUGGGAGAACCAAUGGCAUGAUGGUAAUAAAUGUUUAAGGAACUCAUUUACAGAAAACGUAUUUAAACUAGCUGGAGUAAAAUUGGGCAUGUCUGCAUUUCAAAAGAAUUAAUUGUGUGAUCAUAGAUUGCUCAUUUCAAUUCUCCAUUCUCAAGAAAUGGAUGAAACAUCAGUAUCUGAGUCUCUUCUGAAAUUCAGUAAAAUUGUAACAACUGAAACUUUUUGUUCUAUUUCUAAGGUAAUUUUUGCGGUCGACAAUGAGGUUUUGAUCUUUUGUUCUUAUGCUACUUACUGAUUUUUAAUUUGGUUUUCUAAACAGAGUCUAGACAUAGAUAUUUUCAGAUUAGGUGAAAACAUAAGUUUGAGAAUGAUAUACAUAUUCAAAUUCUUGUUUAAACUGAUUCUUUGUAAGCAGAUCAUUCAAGUUAUAUGAUAUAUAUGUACAUAUGUCUGAAUUUUAACUUUCCAGAGAAAUCAAGAACUCUUUCUGAGUCAGAUUUGGAGAAAUCAUGUUGGAGUCAGGGCAUGAUUCUCUUUGAGAACACUGAUUCUACAGCAUCAAUGAAAUACUGGUGGAGUUACACUUAGAAUAACCCCAGGUUUCUACUAAAAUCUCUCACCUCACAUUUUCUGGAAACAGUAGAUAUAACUAUCAGUGCAAAACAAAUUAUUGUGGAAAUCAGAAACUAUCUUUUCUUUAUAUAUACCUCUCCUAUACUAUGGCAUCUUACAAUGUAAUAUCACUAUAUAGAGAAAAACUGAUUUUAAUAAAAAGAUAAUCUAUAAAAUUUGAGAAGUAGAAAUAAACUUUAAUUUUUUGAAUUCUAGCCAUAUCUCACUGGUAUCAAAGCAAAAACACGUAAGGACCCUCUUGAGUAUUAAAUAUUUCAAGAUUCAGUAUUCUUCAUAAUCUGACCAUGCAAGCCAUGUUUUGUCUAAAUUCCAGUAAUUUCCAUUUAAAUAUUGCUACAUCACUUAUUUAACACUAUAAUGUGAUUUCCCACUGAUACAGCUUUUGUUUAUCUCCUGAUUAUAAAGAAAUUGCCAUGUAUUAAAGUGUUAGCCAAAUCAGUUCCCUCAUAAUGCCAUACCACAUGCUUCUAUCUAGAAUUCAUUCUUCCUUCCUUUCCUUUAUAACAGUUCAUUGUUACCACUCUUGUGGCAUUUAGUAAGUGGUUUGUAAAAUGGCUAAUGUCGGUGAGGCUGAAAAAUAGAAUUAUAUCUACUUGAAAGAAUACCAGUAUGUCAAAAAUCAGAAUUUAUAAAAUAGAUUCCCAGGAAAUGAUUAUUUUCAUAACAAGAAAAUUCUUAAGUUGACAAAAUAAUUUUCUGUGAAAUUAACUGAAAUUAUAAAAAAUUCUAAUGUACUGAAUAUUGUCUAAUUUACCAAGAUUAGAUAACUCCAUUUUGCAAGAGCAUAUACCUAUUAUAUAAACUGAGGUUGUAAAUAGUGAAAUUCAUUUUAGUUCAUGACAGUUUCAGACUUGGAACCCAAGUGAUGAUAUAAUCAUUGGAUCAUUCAUUUUAAAUAUUUAUGAGUAUGGUAAAUUGUCAAACUAAUGAGUUCUGAUUUCCUACCUGAGAAGAGAAUCUUGGGUUCCCCCACCCAGUUCUUCUAGAUACUUUGAGCACAGAUCACAUUAAACUUUAGUCACCUCUAAAAUUAUCAGGAGUCUCACUUAGAGAAUAUUAACAAGAACUUUGCUGGGAAAAGGGAAAUAUUUUAGUUAUUUUGAAGAGGAGAGAGGAUACAAGACAGACCUUCACAUGCUUCAGGUAAAUCAUGCAGAAUUUAGAUACUAAAUUUAUCUUUUAUUCUUCCAUUCUUACUCUUUUUCCUUUCCUUUCUGAACCUCAGAAAACUAAAUUUUAGUCUCUCGUCCUCUGAUUUAUAAGUAGAUGUAAAUAUGCGCCUGUGGGUGAAAGACUGGAAGGCGAGUAGAAGACCAAAUCCAGGGGGUAAUGUUUCCCGUCUCUCUACUUUGUACAGUGUCUCUGGUCAUGGCUGUCUCUGCCUUCUCCAUACACACUGGAAAGUAAUUCUUCUACGAUCUUAGGUUCUGCCAGCCAUGCACACCCCAGCUCCAGGUUUGUUCAAUGACUCUCAAUUCCUCAGUCUCGUAUCAUCAUCUGUAGGAGUUGAGCCUCUUUUUUCAGGGGGGACAGUGAUUUCCUGCACGAAAUUGUCUUUCUGCUGUCUCAAUUCUUUCAUCACCUCUAUAACCAAUUUCCUGCAUUAAAUCUCAUGUUUGAAGUUUAUGUUCAUUACUUCUUCUGUGAUUAAACUCUAAGGCUUUCAGUUCUGAAACUCAUCUCUUCACAGAGAACAGUAAAAGAAAAAGAUAAAGUCUUUGCUCCUCUAGAUGCAUUUAUGUGCCUGGUACAAUUCUCCUUUAUUCCAAAUUCUUUGGGCCAAAAGUGUUUCAUGUUUGAGUCUGAGGGAUUUUGAAAUACUCAAAUAUGUAUGAUGAGCUAUCUUGGGGAUGGGAUCCAGCUCUACACAGAAAAUUCAUUUAUAUUUCAUCUACAUUUUAUACACAUAGCCUGGAGGUAAUUUUAUGCAAUGCUUUCAGUGCACCUGUGUUUCAACUGUGAUCUGUCACACAAGGUCAGGUGUGGGAUUUCCUACUUGUGGCAGUGUGUUUUUACUCAAAAAUUUGGGGUUUUGUAACUCUUUCGUAUUUCAAGACUAAGAAUGCUCAGUCAAAGAACAUGCACAACAAUUUGCAUUAUGUCCAUUUUCCUUAUGGUAAAACUAUAAAUCGAGAGUUCAAAUAAUAUAAAAAUUAAGUAGGGUGACAGAGUUCACAUCUAGUUCUUUUUUAAGCUGUUAUGCAGAUGGACAUAAGAUUGUUCUUUUGGUGUAAGAAACCCAAAGUACAAUCAUAACUACUUCCAAGUGGGGUUGUUCGUAACUCUGAAUUGGAAGAUGUUUCACAAUCUUCCCUUCUUUCCUCCAGAAUUAACUCAUGGCUAUCGAUGCACCAUUAGUAACAGAAUAUUUUGUUAUGAAAAAUUGUUGAAGAAAACUCAGAUUCAAUUUGAAAACCCUCUGCAAUUUCAACGUUAAUGUGAAAUAGGGCGGGUUCGUGCAGUGUUAUCAUUAGUAACCUUAAGCCUUAACUUCGAGGGAGUCUAAAAAAUAUUAUCCCAAAUUAUGGCAUCUUGGAAACUAAAAAAACAGAGGAACAGAAAGAUCCCUGUUCUCUUGCCCUCUUUCCUUCCCUUAAGUAGACCAUCUAAUCUAGGAAGGUAACUCCCUGACCUUCUCUCCCUCUUCCUCUCAAAGCCUUCGUGUCACAGGUAAACUGCCCUAAACCCAGAGGCAGAGAAUGGAACAUGGGAAUGUCAAGAAGUGCAAGAAUAAACAGGUUUUGUUAAAUUCUCCUGGCAAAUUACCAUCAGCUCAUCCCCUUCUGACCUUCAGCCACACCUCUUCCUGCCUCUUCCUGAAAAGGCACAAAUUUCCCCUUUCCUUUGUGUCUUUAUUUCUGAAAACUCCUGUAUAGCACAAAACAUUAAAUAAAUGUGUACACUCUCCUCUUGUCAAUCUAGGUUUGGUUAUGGAGACUUCAACCAUGAACCUUUUCUUGGAUGAAGAAAAGAUAUUGCUUCUUCUUCUCUUCAUAUUUGAUUUUUCUGCUUUGGAGAUGCAGAUACAUUGGGGAGAAUUAAAAUCAAAACAGCAGCACCUGAGUUUUGACUCAGACUAUCUUUCCAGUAUUAUGCAUGGGUUCUGCUAUUUGCCUUAAGUAUUGACAUUUCACAUAUUCAUUUAUUCUAUGAAUGUUUUCUGAAGACAUUUCUAUGUGAGUUUUUUAGUUAGAUAUUACCAAGAUUCAUUUGACCAAAAUGAACAGAACAAUGUCCUAAAAAUAUAUAGAUACAUAAGACCUUUCUUUCUUCUUGGAAACCAAGAUCUAUCCAUACAUUCAGCACCUGAUUUUGCCUCUUUGGCAUAGGUUUGGAGCCAUUUAUUGAGAUUAGAAGGCACUCUUUUAUGUGCCAGUUACCUCCUCUUUUAUUCAUUGUUUCCUUAUUAGUAGCCCUAUCUUAUCAUCUACGGGUCUAUUGGGUCUGAAACUCUCUUUACUAGAAUACCAUUUGUGCUAUCCUUCUCCAUGUUCUUUAGAUCUGACUCCUCUCUUGCAGUACACAUAUGCACAUUCACACCCACUCCCUGUAAGUACAAUUAUUUCUGUCCAAGUCAGAAGUUGAGUAAUUAUAGCCAUGAAGCCCACAGAUAGGAACAAAGGAUAAGAAAGAGAAAAAAUUAAAAUAAAAUUAAAAUAAAUGACCUUAUUCUUUUAAGAAUAAGGAAAAAGUGUGUGGCUGUGAUUAUGUGGAAAACCCAAGGCAGUCUAAAGAAGACUGCAUGUAAGAAUGCAUGAGCUACCUGAAUUGAUUAAGAAUUUUUCCCUGUGGCCCUGGACAAUGGGUUAUGAGUGAGAGCUCAAUACAAUGAAAUCUUUACAGGAAUGUAACUUUGAGAAAACAGAAUUGCAGCCCUGUGAGUUCAGUGACUUUCUGUGCUGUAGAUGUGUGAAGGAUAUCACUGAUUGAUGUCCAUUUGGUGAUAUUGUUAAUUGAAGAGAUUUAAGUACUCACUGAGUCAUUGGACCCUCAAAACAUAAGGUCUCUCCUAUUUAGACUCUAAUCGAAGACUUGUUAUGUGUGUAUGUUAGAUAAGAGCUUAUUUUCCUCAUCGAUUCUUUAUCUUCCAAGCAUGUGCUGUGUAAUUCUAGACUGUAGUUUUAUUCUGAAAAACUGCAUUCUGAUGAUCUUUAGUAUCCAUCUGGAGCCAAGUAUGUCAGAAGAAAAAGAAAAAAAGAAUGACAAAAGAGAUAAGAAAUUUCUAGUAAGCUCAACUUCCUUCUUCACAGUCUCAUAAGGGAUUCUGAAGGUCAAAUCCCCACAUCUCUUGGCAAGUAAGUUGGUGCCAAUAGCCCGUGUGGAAAUCUUUCGUGACAAAAACAAAAAGACUUGGUGCUUAAAGAAAAUAAUCAGCUUUGCCUAAAUUACUGCUAGGGAAGCUGCAUCCCCUAGGGCUGGUGGAUAAUAUGGUUACCUGUUGGAAUGGAAACAGCUCACUUGUGUGUCACAUAGCUGGAAGGUUUGCAGGCCUAAGCAUCUAAACUCUUACCUUACAUGUGUCUGCAGUGCUUGGGCCACUGCCACCCUCUCCCCUGCCCCCAGCUUCCAUUUUCUUACUCUGAUUUUCACUUGGUAUUUAUCAGAGACAACAGGAAAUGUUUCCUGUCCUUACCUCUUUGUGCAGGCUUUUUGGCAUUGUCUUUCUUUUGCUACUACCAACAGGCUAAAUCAUAAGACCGUGUACAGAUUCUGCUUUAUAUAUAACUCUACUGCAUGUAUACUGUAUUCUGGGACCUAGGAAAUCUCUCAGUUAGUUAGGUUUUUGUUUUGGCUUUUCUCCCCUGUGCUUAGAAUAUUCUCCACUCAAUAAUCUUCAUAUGCCUAAUAUGUGCCUAUUCUUUAAGACUCAGCUCAUCUACCACCUGGAGACCUCUGUGUAUGAAAUUAUUAUAGGCCAUGCAUAUGACAGCAACACCAGCAUCAGUGAGAAGAUGUGUCCUGCAGAGCAAAGUUGAUGUUAAGAUGUCAUUUCAGAACAGGACCAACUGAUAGAAGAUGGCAAAAUUCAAAGGGGCACUGGUUGCUUUAUAAUCAUAAAGAGCAAGAUAAGUAGAAACAUUUGUAAGAAAUGAGAAACUUACAAUCUAGAACAUAAAUGCAACAUCCCUAGGGGCA